GACGAACGCUGGCGGCGUGCUUAACACAUGCAAGUCGAACGGUAAGGCCCUUCGGGGUACACGAGUGGCGAACGGGUGAGUAACACGUGGGUGAUCUGCCCUGCACUUCGGGAUAAGCCUGGGAAACUGGGUCUAAUACCGGAUAGGACCACUGCCUGCAUGGGUGGUGGGGGAAAGCUUUUGCGGUGUGGGAUGGGCCCGCGGCCUAUCAGCUUGUUGGUGGGGUGAUGGCCUACCAAGGCGACGACGGGUAGCCGGCCUGAGAGGGUGACCGGCCACACUGGGACUGAGAUACGGCCCAGACUCCUACGGGAGGCAGCAGUGGGGAAUAUUGCACAAUGGGCGCAAGCCUGAUGCAGCGACGCCGCGUGAGGCAUGACGGCCUUCGGGUUGUAAACCUCUUUCAGCACCGACGAAGCGCAAGUGACGGUAGGUGCAGAAGAAGGACCGGCCAACUACGUGCCAGCAGCCGCGGUAA
rnacentral:rRNA from 1 species